rnacentral:rRNA from 1 species
CCCGGGCCUUGUACACACCGCCCGUCACACCACGAAAGUUGGUAACACCCGAAGCCAGUGGCCCAACCCUUUGGGAGGGAGCUGUCGAAGGUGGGAUCAGCGAUUGGGUG